rnacentral:rRNA from 1 species
GGCGGCGCGCUUAACACAUGCAAGUCGAGCGAGAACUAGUCCUUCGGGACUAGGGACAGCGGCGAACGGGUGAGUAACACGUGAGUAAUCCACCCUCGGUACCGGAAUAGCCCGGGGAAACUCGGAUUAAUGCCGGAUGGCCCAUUUGCUCUUCGGAGCUGAAUGGAAAAGAUAGCUUCGGCCUUCGACCGGGGACGAGCUCGCGGCGGAUUAGCUUGUUGGCGGGGUAACGGCCCACCAAGGCGACGAUCCGUAGCUGGUCUGAGAGGACGAUCAGCCACACUGGGACUGAGACACGGCCCAGACUCCUACGGGAGGCAGCAGUGGGGAAUCUUGCGCAAUGGGCGAAAGCCUGACGCAGCGACGCCGCGUGAGGGAAGAAGGCCUUCGGGUUGUAAACCUCUUUCAGGAGGGACGAAGCCACUCGGGUUAAUAGCCCAGANGGUGACGGUACCUCCAGAAGAAGCCCCGGCUAACUACGUGCCAGCAGCCGCGGUAAUAC